UGAGCCACAGCCACCUCCCUCCUCUGCAGGAGACCCUCCAACACUAGCAGCUAGAGUCCUCAGGAAUGCCUCCUAACAUCCUAGAAACAGAGGGUACAUGACUCUCCACCCUCAGACAAUUUCUCUGUGCAAGAAGACUAUGGAGAGGGUAUACAUGUUAGCAGCAGCAGCAGCAGAAGUCCAGUGCUCCUGGGUUGUGAAAGUAUUGCUAAAGAGUGCUUCUGGGACUUCCCUGGUGCUGCAAUGGUUAAGAAUCCGUCUGCCAAUGCAGGGGACAUGGGUUUGAUCCUUGGUCCAGGAGGAUCCCACAUG